GACGAACGCUGGCGGCGUGCUUAACACAUGCAAGUCAAACGGAAAGGCCCUGCUUUUGUGGGUUGCUCGAGUGGCGAACGGUUGAGUAACACGUGAGUAACCUGCCCUUGACUUGGGGAUAACUUCGGGAAACUGGGGCUAAUACCGGAUAUGAGCUCCUGCUGCAUGGUGGGGGUUGGAAAGUUUCGGCGGUUGGGGAUGGACUCGCGGCUUAUCAGCUUGUUGGUCGGGUAGUGGCUUACCAAGGCUUUGACGGGUAGCCGGCCUGAGGGGGUGACCGGCCAGAUUGGGACUGGGAUACGGCCCAGACUACUACGGGAGGCAGCAGUGGGGAAGAUUGCACAAUGGGCGGAAGCCUGAUGCAGCAACGCGGCGUGCGGGAUGAUGGCCUUCGGGUUGUAAACCGCUUUCGCCUGUGACGAAGCGUGAGUGACGGUAAUGGGUAAAGAAGCACCGGCUAACUACGUG
rnacentral:rRNA from 1 species